CAAAUUAAAGCUUUAUAAAUAAGUUUUUUAUUUACAUUAAAAAGAAUAUCGUGUAAUUCGAUUUGAUUUGA
rnacentral:tRNA from 1 species